rnacentral:rRNA from 1 species
AUGCAGCCAUGCGCGCGUGUAUGAAGAAGGCCUUGCGGGUUGUAAAGUACUUUCAGCGAGGAGGAAGGCAUUAAGGUUAAUAACCUUGGUGAUUGACGUUACUCGCAGAAGAAGCACCGGCUAACUCCCUGCCAGCAGCCGCGGUAAUACGGAGGGUGCAAGCGUUAAUCGGAAUUACUGGGCGUAAAGGGCACGCAGGCGGUCUGUCAAGUCGGAUGUGAAAUCCCCGGGCUCAACCUGGGAACUGCAUUCGAAACUGGCAGGCUAAAGUCUUGUACAGGGGGGUAGAAUUCCAGGUGUAGCGGUGAAAUGCGUAGAGAUCUGGAGGAAUACCGGUGGCGAAGGCGGCCCCCUGGACUAAGACUGAGACUUAAGUGCGAAAUCGUGGGGAGCAAACGAGAUUAGAUACGCUGGUACUCCACGCCAUAUACGAUGUCCAUUUGGACGUUGUUCCCUUGAUGAGUGGCUUCCGGAACUAAGGCGUGAAAUCCACCGCCUGGCGAGUACGGCCGCAAGGUUAAAACUCAGAUGAGUUGACCGGCGCCCGCAUAAACUUUGGAGCAUGUGGUUUAAUUCCAUGCGACGCCGAUAUCCUUACCUACUCUUGACAUCCACACAACUUUGCAGAGAUGGAUUGAUGCCUUCCGGUAAUCGCAUGCACGUGCUGGAUGUCUGUCCUCGUCUGCUGUUGUGAAAUGCUCAGUUAAGUCUCGCUCCGAGUCCAAGGGGCAUCCUUUGUUGCCGGCGUUCCUGCCGAUAACUCGCAGAUACUGCUGUGAUGGCUGUCUACACCGUGUCUGAUGACCUCUAGUCAGCAUGGUCUCUUACGAGUAUCGCUAGUCGAGUGCUAGGAUGUCAUAUACGACGAUGAGCGACCGUCCGCGUGCGAUCUGACCUCAGUAAAUUUCUGAUCAUACGCCGCAUUCUACUCUAGUAACUGCGACUCGCUGGACAUCGAGAUUCGCUAGUGAUUCGUACAGCAAGAUAGCUACAAUCAA